UCCCAAAUGCAAUUUAAUAUCUCUUAUGCAAACUUUUUUUUUAAAAAAUAUAUCAAAAAUUAACAUUCAAAUUUAAAAAUGUUAAUUUUUCCUUUGUUAAUUUUUUUGGGUUUCGGAAAAUAACCCUCUUUCUUUAAUUAAAGCGAAAAUUAUAUAAAAAAUUAUAUAUUUUUGUUUUUUUUGAAAGGUAGCCGUUUUUUUAAUUAAAAGUGAAAAAAAAAAAUUCGUGUUAGCCGUUUGAAAAGUAGCCGUUUCUGUUUUGGUUUUCGGGAAGUAGUCGUUGUUAGAUUUCCUUUUUAUCUAUAAAAAGUCCACUUCCAACUAUCUCACAUCAGAUAAUCCCAUUCUCCUUUCCAUCAAGAAAAUAAUAAUAAUAAUAAUAAUAAUCAGUUUCCGAACCAUGGAGCCGGAGAGCAACUUCCCGUCCCCUUCUUCUCCGUCGCUCAUAUCCUAAUACAACCCAUAGAAAACAAGAUCAUGUUUGUAAUCGGGAGCUACAUCAUGUACCACGACGACGAAGCUAUCGGCCGUGAUUCUGAUUCCCAAAGUAAACGCCGUAACCCUUUCUCUCAGCCGUAAGGCUUAUCUGGAUAUGGGUUUUUAAAGAAGAAGCUGUUGUCGACCUCUCUUCUGCAUAUCAUACAAGUUAUGUUACAGACUUAUAUUGCGCUGAAAUUAGGACUUCAUUUGAUGCUCACCGUGGCCAAUGAACAUGUAAUGUUGCCAAUACAUGAUGUGUUAUUAAUUUUAUUAUCUGAAGAACUCCUGCCGUAAAUGAUAUGUGUGAUCUUGAUGAUACUA